UUUAUUGCCUUUUUCAAUAUUGAAGCCCUAAUAUUUGCUAUUUUUUGUUUCCCUUCAAUCAGAUCAAAUACAGAUAGAUGUUUGGAAAAUUGAGAAAUUGAGCAAGACAACUGAAGAAGAUGAUGCUCAGAACACCGCCGCCGAGGAAGAGGAGAGCAGAAUCUCCGCUGCAGGAAGACAAUAACAACAAUAACAAUACGACUCUGAGCCCCAGUUCCAGUCGGCAGCUGCUGGUUUACGAGGACUUGCCGGUGGCGGAAUAUUCGCACGACCACUCCAUUCCAACAAGCUCCGAGCAGAUGCUCUGCACCUAUCAAUGCCGACAGAUGGUGAAAUCAGAAUUUUUCGAUGCUCUAAGCAGUGCAGAAAAACAAGCACAUGAUUAUCAAUCUAAAUUUGAAGCACUCAAUGAGGGUUUUGAAAAAUCUGAAUCAGAGAGAAAGAAAUUACGAGAUAAAUUUUUCAACACCGAGCAGGAACUAGCUGCUACUAGAGGACGUGAACAUAUAUUACAGGAGCAACUAAGGAAGGAGGUCGAUUUUUCUCAAGAACAACUCAAAAAGCAACUACAGGCCUUUAAUGAGCUUGAGAUAAAGUUUCAGAAUGAGACGCGUCUGCGCAAAAAUGCUGAGACAUCAGCUGCUAAAGCUGAAGAAAGAGCACAAAUAUUAGAGGAGAAGCUAAAUACUCUAUCAGAAAGCAUAGAUAGGGAAAAGGGCCGUCUUCAAAAUGAGCUUGCUCAAAUGAGAAGUGACACAAAGCUGUCUGUUUCUAGAAUAAGUGCCGAUCUUGAAAGAAUGGAAUGCAGAGCCAAAAAUGCAGAGAAAGAGUCGGAAUUACUGAAAGUACAGUUAGAAGGACUGAAAGAGCAACUAGAUAAGUCCAUGCAGGAGAAAUUUGAGUUGCAGAAAAAAUUGUCCUCGGAAUCUUUAGAAGCUCCUUCGAAAGACAAUAGUUUGUUGGUGAAACAUUUGCAAGAAGAACUGAGGAACUAUGAGUCUGAAGUUCGUGAAGCUAGAAAGAUAAAAGCUUCUCAGGAAGACAUAGAAUUAUUGAAAGAAAAGUUGCAUGAAGAAAAGAGCCGCAAGGAGAGGGCAGAGUUGGAACUACUAAAGUUAUCCGACCUCAAGUCAAACAUGAAGAAUCUGGAGGAUGAGGUGUCCACAUGGAAAUCAGUGAUUAAGGAACUUCCUGGUGUGUCAUCUGUAGAUGAUAUACCUUCUGAAUUUGCAGCUUUACAGAAGAAGGUGGUCGAUAGCAUGAGGAAUGAAAGUGAGACCCGGGAAAAGGUCAUAGAAUUUCAGGUGGCUCUUGAUAAGGCUAUUCUUGACAAACAAAAUGCAGAAACUGAGGCUGCCAUGGUGAAAGAGAAGGCAGAGUCAUGUAAAGCAGAAAUCAAAAGGCUGGAACUGAUGCUAGGUUUGAUUACAGAGGAAAGAGACCGCUUGAAAGAUGUUAUUAAGGAAUUAAAAGAGCAUAAGGAUCUUGAAGGUGGAUCUGGAUUGGUCAGUGGAACUAUAUUCCAGGAGCUUGAAAUAUCUCUGGUCAAGAAGGAAAACUAUGUCAGGCAACUAGAAAAUAGCUUAUCAGAAAUAAAGGAGAGUAAUAGUCGACAGCAUAAUGAGAUAAUGUUGCUCAAUGAAAGGUUAACUAAUGAAGGAAGACGAGUAAAGAUGCUAGAGCGUGAAGGUGAUCGCCUACGUUCAGAGAUAUCUUUGUUGGAGUCUAAGUUGGGACAUGGCGAUUUUUCUUCUGCCAAUACAAAGGUCCUCCGGAUGGUUAACACCCUGGCUGUUGAGAACGAGGCAAAACUAACAAUAGAGGCUCUGCAAAAUGAGCUGCAAAAGACAAAAGAAAAGUUACUGGCUGUAGAAGAGCUUAAAAAUCAGUCAUCUGAUGCUGGCACACAUGUUGACUCGUACGUUGCUGGGAAGAUUAAGCAGUUGAAAGAGCAGAUUGCAACACUUGAAAAACGCGAGGAGAGGUACAAGACAGUCUUUGCAGAAAGAAUCUCUGUUUUCAGAAGGGCAUGUUGUGAACUUUUUGGUUACAAGAUUGUGAUGGAUGAUCACCAACGGCCAGAUGGAAUUCCAGUCACACGAUUUACUCUGCAUUCGAUCUAUGCACUGAGUGAUGAUGAGAAGCUUCAAUUCGAAUAUGAAUCAGGGAACACAAAUAUUGUGGUGAAUGCGUAUACUUCACAACCUGAGAUAUCUCGACAGGUUGAUAUAUUUAUCCGGAAGAUGAAUUCGAUUCCUGCCUUCACGGCUAAUCUGACCAUGGAAUCUUUCAAUAAGCGUACUCUAUCAUGAAAUGUGGCAGCACAGCAGUAUUGAUUUUCACUUCUCUUUGUUUGUGAUUACUCUUUUAAUAAAGGAGGAACUCAAACUGAACCUCUCAUUCCAAUCAAUCAUGUCUUGUAGUUUAAAACGCAUUGUAUGUUUAAAAGGGUAGAUUGAAGGUGGUAUUGGUGAAAAAAGCAGAGGUCUUCCACCAACCUAAACCUUGCAUCAAGUGGGAUCUCUAUAUUUACAGCUAAGUUUCAAAACUUGAGAUAAUUCUCGUGUCAUGGAGUUCGGACAUGUUUGGAUGAGUAACUAAUGGUGUAGCUUUCGGUGGCCUAAUUUUUAGAUCUAAUGGCGUAGCUUUCAGCGACCUAAUGGCGUAGCUUUCGGGCAUGGAUGCAAGCCACAACUUCUGGUAGAGGAAUGAGGUAUGAAUUUUGGUCGAGUUUGAGGUCAAACUCAAUAAAGCAUGAGGCAGUGGAAACAUAAAGCCAUUAGAGAAGGUCCUAUGUUUGCUCUUAUUGCAUUUUGGAAUAGCAUUGGAUUCCUCAAAACUCCUCCACUGUGACUAUGGGGGUAAUGUCUUUCACUUUCACCACAGUGCAAAAUGUCAUAGGCCAUGGAAUUAAUUUGAAAUUGAGGCUGUUAUUUGGUUUACAAUUGUGGAAUCGUCAGCUUAUCUUACUUAGGUGACUAGAAUUAAAAACAUCGUACAUGUGCGGUUUGACAUCUUGGAAUGGAUCUUAUCUUGAUGAGA